UAUUAAAAUUUCAUCCAUUUGUAUUGUUAAAAACUGGCGUGGCUAACAAAAUAACUAGAUAGUGACACAUGGUGUGACAUGUGUGCCUUAUGCUGAUGUACAAGAACUAGCUUUCAAGAGUAAAACGGAUGAAUUUUUUUAACA
rfam:Gossypium raimondii Chr03_contig_1058, whole genome shotgun sequence.